AAUUCUCAACCGCCGGAUGUUUCGACCUCCGGUUGGCUUGGACUUGGAGUGUGCUGGCGAAAGUCGGCUCCUCUCAAAUGCAUCAGCGGAAUUCAACCUUUGGCUUCCGGACAUCAGUGUGAUAACAACGUUGCGCUGUCGUCUGAAAUCGAAGAGUCCGCUUCAUAAUGGUCUUCGGACAAACAUUGACAAUCAG
rnacentral:misc_RNA from 1 species